AGGAAAUGCAACGUCUCUCUUUGUCAUGUGGACUGGUGGUUUGGCCAUAGGGCCUUCCCCGUCGGGUUGUGAAGCGUCUCAGGGUCAUCAGGAACGUGUCUGCCUCUGUGCUGCUCAGCGCUACAUUUAGAGGCGAGCGGCUACUGACCAACAGCUUUGAAGAUCUCCUACAACGGCAGUCUUCUAUCCUCUACAGCAUCAAGUCAGCAGUUAUCCUUCAAUCAGAGAUCCGAC
rnacentral:lncRNA from 1 species